UACGUAGGUGGCAAGCGUUGUCCGGAUUUAUUGGGUUUAAAGGGUGCGUAGGCGGUCUUAUAAGUCAGUGGUGAAAUACGGCAGCUCAACUGUCGAGGUGCCAUUGAUACUGUAGGACUUGAGUACAGACGAGGUAGGCGGAAUUGACGGUGUAGCGGUGAAAUGCUUAGAUAUCAGAAGGAACAUCAGUGGCGAAAGCGGCUUCCUGGACCAGAACUGACGAUCAGGCACGAAAGCGUGGGGAGCAAACAGG
rnacentral:rRNA from 1 species